UACGGGGGGGGCAAGCGUUGUUCGGAAUUACUGGGCGUAAAGGGCUCGUAGGUGGCCAACUAAGUCAGACGUGAAAUCCCCAGGCUUAACCUGGGAACUGCGUCUGAUACUGGAUGGCUUGAAUUCGGGAGAGGGAUGUAGAAUUCCAGGUGUAGCGGUGAAAUGCGUAGAUAUCUGGAGGAAUACCGGUGGCGAAGGCGGCAUCCUGGACCAUUACUGACGCUGAGACGCGAAAGCUAGGGGAGCAAACGGG
rnacentral:rRNA from 1 species